rnacentral:lncRNA from 1 species
GAGUGCCGAGACCUGGGAAACUUCUCUUCCCUCCACACCAUCCUUUCUGCCCUGCAGAGCCCUGCCAUUACCCAUCUCCAAGAGACCUGGGGGGCAAGUUUCCAGGUGGCUAGGCUGCUGUCUAGCCAGGCACCAUGAGGGCGAGGUGGACCAGGCAGCCUGCUUUGGGCUGGCAUGUCCCCCAAACUCAGCUGAGACCACCUGGGAGCCAGCGAACACCGGGCACAGGGACUGACCUGGGUGCUGGGUCUCUGAGUCUCUCAGGGCCCUUAGGCCAUCAGUUCUGCCCCAAAGAUUCAUUUCCUUCAAGACCACAUCCUGGCUUGAGCCCAGGUGGAGAUUUUCAAGUGUUUCCUUUGCAGAAACAGAAGUCUCUAUGCAGCUGAAACCAGCACUGUUCCAAAGAGAUCUGUUUGGGACAUAUGGGAAUGCAGGCCUCAGGGGACAAGAGGAGAGGCCCCUCCACAGUCCCAAUGGGACCUUAGAGCUCAGAGCUCCCCAGUGAAUUCCUCAUCCAGGCCCCAGGCAGUUUGGAUCUGCUGGGUUCUCAAAUAAAAUGGAUUACCCUUCAACCAUCCCACAGUUUUUCUUUCUUUCUUUCUUUCUUUCCCAAACCCACAAGGAGAGUUCUCGAACCUGGAAGAAGUGGUGCAGAGAAGCGCAUGAGCAGGGAGCUGCUCCUGCAGGAGGCGACCUCCAUGUUAGUGACUGCAGAGAGGGCCCGCCAGGGAGUCCAGGAGAGGCAGGGGCAGUAGGGGAUGUGCUGAACUGUCAGAAAUGGAAUGAGGUAAGCAGCUGCAGCCUCACAGUGGGGAGGCUGGGGGUGUGUAAAUCAGAAACACACCCCGUGGGCAGGACACCCUCUGGCCCAAUCCCCAGGGUCAGACAUUUAUUUGUAGACUUUGAUAUACAGAGCUGGGAAUCCUAUGGCAUUGGUGGGUGGGGAUAGGGCUGGCAUCAAAGACACCUUCCUGGAUGAGGAGCUAUUUCAGGCCAAGUGUGAGAGCAGGCAAGUUCUGACUGGAAUUGCAGGGAGGCAGGGUUCCCAAGUGGGCAAAGGCCCCAGACUGGCUCUUUGUCCCCCUCGUCAUCCCCUCCAAGAGCCCUGCAGGGUCCCCGACUCAGGUCCCGUGUGCAUCCUGUGCUUGCUUUGUCCUAGCAAUUCAAACUGAUGGAGGAGAUCGAGCUGCUCCAGGAGGCUGCAAAUCUGUACACCGUGCAGCCUGACAAGCACUUUGGAGCCUGGUUCCAGGCCAUGGAGCCCCUGAGUGAGGAGGAGAGAUGAGGGAGGUCAGGAGUUGGGAGAGGGCAGGGCAGACUCUCUCUGCUGACCAACUCCAGAGCCCAUGGCCCUGGCUCCCUGGUCAGCCCCAGAUCUGGUUGCAUGGCGAACCCUGGGACCCUUGGACUCCAGCUGUUGGCAGGUUCCAGGAUGCACAUGUGAUGUGUGGCUCCUGAGAGCUUCCAGCUCUACUCUGUCCUGUAGCUACAGCCUGUCCUGCCAGCUGGAGCCCAGAUACCACUGGGCCAGAAAGAUUCGACUCUUCUUCAAAGACAAGAAGAACAGCUCAGGCAAGAGUGUGUGUCUGCACCGGUAGUGGCUGAAUCCACAGGCUCAGGAAACAUUCAGGCUGAGCAUGGGCCUGGGGAGGCAGACAGCUGGCCCUGGGUCCCAACUCCACUGCUGAGCAGUCCUGUCCUGGGCAAUUGCACUCAUGUUUCUUGGACUGGUUUCCUCCUCUGUGAAAUGGGUGAUGUUAAAUAUCAGCCCCUGUGUCAGGGACAGAUGGGGUCCUGUUGGCUGUCUGACCACUCAGCACAGGGCUGGAGCACAGAGCACAGUGGGGGCAGGGAGGGGGUGUGUGCUGUGGUUCCAGGGCAGGCCCCUCAGGAAAUGCCUCUCUUUCUCCAGUCACCAGACCCCCAACCAAGGGCCCAGUGGUGGUGGU